GCUCUCUGGGGGGGCAGCCGGGGCGUUUUCCCUCCCUCCCUGCCCAUACCGCCGUCAGCCCCGCUCUCCUCUUUACGUGCUCAUUUUCUGAGCAAACCUUCAUUUCCUUCUCUAUGACAUUUUUUGUUCCCUUCUUACAUUUCUAUUCUCUCCUCGCUCUUUUAACAACGAGAGUAGGAAAGGAUUACAAGGCAGAAUCAUUCCUUUCACGUCACAACAUGCUCUCCUGGACUAAGCAAGAGGCCGAGGUGUCAAGGAGUCCCCACGAUGUCCAUUCCCUGAAACGCGAGAAUAAUUCUCCCUCAGCGGAGGGAUUGGCUUGCAUCUGCAACCCAAUUCUACACUCCCACCUACCGGGAAGCCGGGAGCAGCGGUGCUGCCUCUCAGCACGGUGUAUCUCCCCUUCCCUAACUACAUUUCUUUGGGAAAAUGGGACAAGAGUGGCGGUCGCCUGAGGCACCUCUCCUCGCCGUUUUCGGAAGGGGCAAUAGCAAGGACGGCCAUGGCACGCAGCUGAGGUAAAGGCUAAGCGGGAAUGCACAAAAAUGAACCUAAAGUUCUUCCUGGACAUUAAAACUUAAAGAGGUUUUCAACAGCUUCUCCACCAUCUUCAGAAUGCUCAUCUGGGAAGAGCAACUGCUUGCUACAAUCCACUAUUAAACCACCUACAGUUGAUAUGCCAGCAGUAAAGCAAAAUCAUCAAUCUCUACUUCCUUUUGACUUUGAAGGAAUAAUUCCAUCUCCUCAUUUAGCCAAAAAUCACUGACAGAUUUUACCAAGUAUCUGCACAGAUGUAAGCUCAGACUUUACAUCUAAAAACCUGUCUUGAAAAAUCACUAGCUUACAAAACAAUAGCAAUGUACUGUUAACACCCUGCCCCAGCAUUUCUUGGGUUCCCCAGGACAGGGCACUCUAAUGUGUGCUAUAACUGUUACACCAGCCUCCACACCUUCCCUCUGGAAAAACACAAACCUCACAGAGAACCAGUAAAGUGGGAUAGAAGCAACAGAUGGAUCAUCUGAAGACUGAGUAAAUCUGCAGGCCUUGCCCAGUGCAGAAGCAAGUAGAACAACUUCACUUCAACAAGUUUUUCUCCCAGUUAAACACAAAACAAGUGAUUUAUUCCCCUCUCUCUCUGUCCCCCAAAACUGACAUUGGUCACAUUCACUUGCUGAGUAUGAAACAUUUAUUUUCCCACCCAAAACAUCUCUUAGGUAUGUGCCCAUGUGAAAUACUAAUUAGGAAUAUGUAUUCAAACAUAAAUCCUGAAGUUUUUAAUCUAUCCUAUUCCUUAAUCCAUCUAAACAAAAACUGCCUUUUUGGUUUUUUAACGCUUUAAAAAGAAUGGGCCUUUCCAACAUCCUCUGAAGAAACACAAUCAUAAAUUGCCUUAUUAAUACAGCAGUAACCCCUUAAUCCCUGCAAUAUAUGUUUUUUACCUUUUCACUGCAAUUUAAAAAAAGAAAA